rnacentral:lncRNA from 1 species
AUGGAUGAAAAGCCAACAAAACCGGAGGACAAAACAACGAGAUCAGGCAGAGUUAGAUACCAACAGCCUAGUACAACACAGCAUCAACACAGGGCAUCUGCCUCAGGCCCCCCUGUACCACAAGGGGAAGGGAUGUCAGAAGAAGGUUUCACCUCUAUUUUGAGUAAGAUUUAUGAGACUUUGGAUAAACUGAGCAAACAAGUGGCUGAGGCCACAAACAAAAUUGAUCAAAAUACUACAAGCAUUAAUGAUUUGAGCCAGAAAGUGAAUGUAAAUACAGGUUCUAUCAAAAAAUUAUCGCAACAGUUAGAAUCAAACCAAAAGACGGCUCAGGAAGCUAAAGAAAAAGUAGAGGCCGUAGAAGGAAAGAUAAUACCGAUAAGCAUACAGUUGGGGGACCACCAGGUACAUCUUGGGGUCCACCAGGAACUCCUGUUUAUGAUUGAAUUGAGAGAAAAACAGACCAACUUGAAGGUCAGAGCGGUGCCUGAACUUGAGAAAGAUAGCUUGUGUGACUUCCUGACACAGGAAUUUGCGGACUUUUGGAAAUUGGAUGACAAGCAAGAUUUUAAAAUAACAAAGGCUUUCAGACUUGGAAGAGGAGGGAGGAAGGGCAGGGUGAGAGACUGUCUGAUUACCCUUCGAUCUAAAGAGGAGCGAGACAAAAUACUAAGCCUACACUACCAGAACACUUUGAUAAUACAGGAGUCAAAAGUGGAAAUCUUCAAGGACAUUCCGAAACAUCUUUUGGACCUCAGGACUAACUAUGGAGACCUGGUGACUUUACUGAGAGGAAACAGAAUCAUCUUCAGGUGGGAAUUCCCUCAAGGCCUAUCUUUCAGCUUUAAAGGUAAGAAGUUUAAAAUAAGAUCAUUGGAGGAGAAGGAAAAAUUUUUGAGAGACCACGAAGAAGAUCUGCAAAAAGGUGUAGAAGGACUGCCGGCAGCCUUACCACCAGGAUUAUUAGACAUAGUAUCACUACCUUUGGGAGUGGACAAGACAAAGAAAGUGAUACCACCGCCAGAAGAAGACGAACUAUUGGGAGCUGUCGGAGGACAGGAAACCUAG